ACUUUUUGGGUCAUUAGUGUAAUCAUAAUUUAGGCAUAUUCACUUGAAAAAAGAAGUGGAAAACCGAAUAAAAUGCCACCAACAGUACAGUCAGGUCCACGAGAUGACAGAGACCGAAAAAGACCAGGAGAGAGAAGAUCUGAGUUAGUAUGCAGAGUGAAAUACAACAACACUUUACCAGAUAUACCUUUUGACCCCAAAUUCAUCACUUACCCUUUUGAAACAAACAGAUUUGUAGAGUAUAAACCAACAUCAUUAGAGCGGAGCUAUAAAUAUGACCUUCUAACAGAACAUGAUCUUGGUGUGACAAUUGACCUCAUAAAUCCAGACACGUACCGGAUAGAGCCAGGAGCAUACCUAGAUCCAGAAGAUGAAAGACUAUUGGAAGAAGACCUCAAUACACCCACAGAUUCGAAAAGAUCUAGACAGCACAAUACUACGGUAUCAUGGUUGCGGAAGACAGAAUACAUUUCUACAGAGUACAACAGAUUCACACAGAAAUCAGAUAACUCUGAGAGAAAGAAACAGUGGAAUUCAUCUUGCAUGGUGUCAUGCAGGAGUUGGAUUUAAGAUAAAACAGAUCAUGAAAGAUGAAGACAUAUACAAAGACAGAGCGAGCCAGAUACAGGCCAUAGAUAAGACAUUUGAACAAGCCAAGGAAAAGAUCACCAAACAUUACAGUAAGCCUGGUGUGACACCUGUUGAAGUACUGCCAGUGUUUCCAGACUUUGAUCUGUGGAAACAUCCAUUUGCCCAAGUAAUUUUUGACUCUGACCCUGCUCCCAAGGGUCGGCCCCAGCCGGCUCAGAUGGAAGAGAUGUCUCAGGCCAUGAUCAGAGGUGCUGUUGAUGAAAACAAUGAGCAGUUUGUUGCAUACUUCCUGCCAACCGAGGAAACGCUAACAAAGAGAAAGCGAGAUUCGGAGGAGGGCGUGGAUUAUAAUGCUGAGGAUGAGUAUGAUUACACACUAGCCAGAGAAUACAACUGGAAUGUCAAGAACAAACUUUCCAGAGGUUACGAGGAGACAUAUUUCUUUGUGUUCAGAGAGGAUGGAAUGUUUUACAACGAGCUGGAAACCAGGGUGAGAUUGAGCAAGAGGAGAAAGACAGGAGGAGCACAGAUGGCCAAAUCUCGACUUAUCGUCAAACACCGAGAAGUGAAUGAGAGAGAGGUAGCAGCACAGAAUGCCCGAUUGAUGAUGUUGGAGCCCCAACAAGAGGAGGAGGAAGAAGAAGAAGCACAAGAGGAGCAGCUGGCUGGAUCAGAUGAAGAAUUCCGCAGUGGUAGUGAAGCAGGAAGUGUCAAAUCGGCUGGAAGUCGUCACAGCCGGUCAAGGUCACGUAGCGGUAGUCGCAGUCCAUCGCGCAGUAGAAGCAGGAGUCGCAGCAGAAGCAGCAGUCGAUCAUCUCGUAGUCGCAGCAGAAGUGCCAGUGGAAGCCGGAGUCCUUCACCAGCAAGAAGUGAGAGCGAACACGGCAGUGACAGUGACCGAGGGAAGAAGGACGAGGAGGAGAUCUUUGGGUCGGCCAGCAGCUCUGAUGAAGAUUGAAGGAGCUCUAUUGAAAAAGAACUCCUGGAGGAUUCUGUCAAAAUGGUGCAAUAACAUUUUUCGUUGGAAGCCAUAUUUUAUUCUUUGGAUUUUGUUUUUUUCUUUCUUGCACCAUAAACAUAGACCUAACUUUAAAAAAAAAUCCAAAACAAAAUUAUAUAAGGUGUAAUAAGUUCAAAAAUUUUCUAACAAUAUGUUUAGAAAUGAGUUGAAGGUUCAGAAUAUUUAGUAUGUAUAGAAAACCUUCAGAUGCACCUUGGAGUUUAUUUCUUUAAAAUAAGUAUUGUUCUAAAAGACCAAAUAAGCAAAGAUACAUGGUAUUGAACAUGUUUGAUUUUAAUAUCAUCAUCAUAAUUUUGUCAAAACAUGCAUUUAAAACAUCAUUAUUCAUAUGUGCUUCAUGCCUGUAAAUAAAUCAGAGAUUUUGAAGUUU
rnacentral:misc_RNA from 1 species